AUCGAACGCUGGCGGCAGGCUUAACACAUGCAAGUCGAACGAGUGGCGGACGGGUGAGUAAUGUCUGGGAAACUGCCUGAUGGAGGGGGUUAACUACUGGAAACGGUAGCUAAUACCGCAUACCAUCAGAUGUGCCCAGAUGGGCUUAGCUAGUUGGUGGGGUAACGGCUCACCAAGGCGACGAUCCCUAGCUGGUCUGACAGGAUGACCGGCCACCAUGGAACGUAGGCACGGUCCAGAGUCCUACGGGAUGCAGCAGUGGGGAAUAGUGCACAAGGGGCGCAAACCUGAUGCAGCCAUGCCGCGUGUAUGAAGAAGGCCUUCGGGUUGUAAAGUAGUUUCAGCGGGGAGACGUUACCCGCAGAAGAAGCACCGGCUAACUCCGUGCCAGCAGCCGCGGUAAUUC
rnacentral:rRNA from 1 species